UGGCGCAGGAGAUGGGCCGUCCCUCGGCU
rnacentral:sRNA from 1 species